CCUACGGGGUGCAGCAGUCGAGAAUCAUUCACAAUGGGGGAAACCCUGAUGGUGCGACGCCGCGUGGGGGAAUGAAGUUCUUCGGAUUGUAAACCCCUGUCAUGUGGGAGCAAAUUAAAAAGAUAGUACCCCAAGAGGAAGAGACGGCUAACUCUGUGCCAGCAGCCGCGGUAAUACAGAGUUCUCAAGCGUUGUUCGGAAUCACUGGGCGUAAAGCGUGCGUAGGCUGUUUCGUAAGUCGUGUGUGAAAGGCGCGGGCUCAACCCGCGGACGGCACAUGAUACUGCGAGACUAGAGUAAUGGAGGGGGAACCGGAAUUCUCGGUGUAGCAGUGAAAUGCGUAGAUAUCGAGAGGAACACUCGUGGCGAAGGCGGGUUCCUGGACAUUAACUGACGCUGAGGCACGAAGGCCAGGGGAGCGAAAGGGAUUAGAUACCCGGGUAGUC
rnacentral:rRNA from 1 species